AUGACUUAUCUGCAAAGGUGUAUGGGGGUCCCUAUUAAAAAGGGCCUUGAGGUAUUCUUCUUCACUCUCUUUUGAAGUCUGCACAGGUUAUCUAGGGUUGGUGCUAACUUCCUGUGUGGAGAGAGGAAGUGAAGGGAACUCCAGAGAAACUCUGUAGAGGUAGGAACAGCUGGCCAGCAGAGGCAGCAAUUGAGAACAGCCAGCUGAGAGGUUUUUUCCAUCAGAACAGAUUUAGGAAGUUAAGAUUUCUCAACUGCAGAUCUUCUAAAAAGCACAUCAAACUGGUAUUAUUUGUCAAUCUCAUCCACUUACCAGACUUCGUAUGACAAGUUGCCCAGAGUUUUCAGGAAAGCUUUUUCCCAGGUGAGGCUAUCCUUAUUUACUUUCCUUGAGUCCUAAUAGCAGUCUCCCUCAUUGUAACUUAAAAUCAUUACUUCCUGCUUUAUCCAUAUAGGAGAAACCAAUCGGAAACCCAACCUCUCUUAUGAAGCUUUUCUUUUUCUUUUCAUAUGGGAAGAUAUAAAUGAAUCCCAAAUUAUUCCAGAGAGCAUAUUUUCUUGAUUUCAGUAUAGACAUUUCCUGUACCUUGUCAGUUAGUGCCUUCUCCAAAUAUAGUGACUAAAACUAACACUACGCUGGUUUUUUUUGUAAGACCACAGACCACAUCUAGCAGAUAUGAUUUAUACAACCCAGCAGAUCUGCGUUUGUUUGCAAAAACAGGUAAUUUUUUGACUCAUGCAAUUUACACUGGCUAUAUCCUGCAGACCCUUUUCUACAGAUGAUCUUAUUCUUCACUUUGUCUUUAUGCAGCUGAUUAUAGAUGCCUAAAAGCAGAAUUUUCAGUAUUGAAUUGUAUC
rnacentral:lncRNA from 1 species